AUCCAUCUUACCAUCUGAAAAGUAUCCAUGCAUCAAUGUGUCAUUAGGCUUAACACCCAUGUGUACCAUCAGGUCAAAGAUAUCUUGGGCUUCCAUAAGCCUUCCAUUUUUGCAAAGGCGGACCAUAAUUGUGGUGAAAAACACAGUAUUAGGAUAGAUGCCACGACCCAACAUUUCA